UCAGACGAUGCGUCAUGCAUAUCAAUAAGCGGAGGAAAAGAAACUAACAAGGAUUCCCUCAGUAACGGCGAGUGAAGCGGGAAGAGCUCAAAUUUGAAAUCUUGAAAGGUCACCUUUCACGAAUUGUAGUUUAAAGAAGUGUUUUCUGUUACGAUCGUAAUAUAAGUUCUUUGGAAUAGGACAUCACAGAGGGUGAGAAUCCCGUCUAUGAUUGCGAUUUGUAGCUUUGUGAUACACUUUCAAAGAGUCGGGUUGUUUGGGAAUGCAGCCCAAAACGGGAGGUAAAUUUCUUCUAAGGCUAAAUAUUGGCGAGAGACCGAUAGCGAACAAGUACCGUGAGGGAGAGAUGAAAAGAACUUUGAAAAGAGAGUUAAACAGUACGUGAAAUUGUCAAAAGGGAAGCGUUUGACACCAGUGUUGUUUUCUCGAAAAUCAAUUAAAAAUGGCUCGAUUUUGUAUUGCUGAGACCUUAAAAGCUCACUGUACAUUUUUCGUGUCUUUUUUAAUGCACUUUUCGUUUAACAAGUCAACAUCAGUUUCUUUUGUUGUAAAAGGGUCAUUGGAAGGUGGCUUUCUUUUCGGAGAAAGUGUUUAUAGCCUUUGGCCUCUGCAAUCGGAGAGACUGAGGUCUGCAGCGUAGACUCUUCGGGGUUAGAUACAUUUGUGCUAAGUUAUAGCUUUUUAUAGACAACUUGUUGACUAUAAUUAGUCUUGUAGCUUACUCGCUUAUGCUAUUUUACCUACGCUUAGGAUGUUGACUGAUAUGUAGUCGUA
rnacentral:rRNA from 1 species